rnacentral:rRNA from 1 species
AGCGUUGUUCGGAAUUACUGGGCGAAAAGGGCUCGUAGGCGGCCAACUAAGUCAGACGUGAAAUCCCUCAGCUUAACUGGGGAACUGCGUCUGAUACUGGAUGGCUUGGAUCCGGAAGAGGGAUGCGGAAUUCCAGGUGUAGCGGUGAAAUGCGUAGAUAUCGGGAGGAACACCUGUGGCGAAAGCGGCGCACUGGACCAUAACUGACGCUGAGGCGCGAAAGCUAGGGGAGCAAACGGG